CUUAAAUUGAAGAGUUUGAUCAUGGCUCAGAUUGAACGCUGGCGGCAGGCCUAACACAUGCAAGUCGAGCGGAAACGAGUUA
rnacentral:rRNA from 1 species